GGAAGAACUGGAAGUAGGAGACAAUCAAAUGAAUGCAGUUGCAAAUAAAAUAAUGGAAGGUGUAUCUAUCUCAGACACUAUACCUUAUGGCAAUCGAACAUAUAGUGAUUGCUUUGUGGAGGCCUUGAUAUCAGAGGCAGAGAGACACAAAGAUAUUGUAGCUGUUCAUGCAGGCAUGGGAAUGGAGCCUUCACUUCACCUUCUGAAGGAUGUCUUUGCAGAGAAGUUUUUUGAUGUUGGGAUGGCCGAACAACAUGCGGUAACAUUUGCAGCUGGGUUGGCAUGUGGAGGGCUGAAGCCAUUCUGCAUAAUUCCUUCAGCUUUCCUCCAAAGAGCCUAUGAUCAGGUCGUCCAUGAUGUAGAUCGUCAGAAGGUUCCCGUGCGUUUCAUCAUUACAAGUGCUGGAUUAGUAGGAUCUGAUGGUCCUAUACAUUGUGGGACAUUUGAUAUAGCAUUUAUGUCCUGUUUGCCAAACAUGAUCGUAAUGGCUCCUUCUGAUGAAGUUGAGCUUUCUCAUAUGGUUGCAACUGCUGCCCUUAUUGAUGACAGGCCAGUUUGC
rnacentral:misc_RNA from 1 species